UUAUUUUUUUAGUAAGUCAAGAAUCACUAAUAUUGCUCAUAGUUGUCUUUACUUUUAGUAGAUGUUAUUUUAUGCCAUCUGCAAUUUUUUUCUCUCAAAAAUGUCAUAAAACAACAUCCAUUUUGAAUCUGCCAUUUUUAAGAAGUUUUUGGGAUGUUUGCAGAGAAACAUUAUAGAAAACCCUUGCAACACCCUAACAGCUGCCCAGAAAACCAUAGCAACCGCAUAGCAACAUAUUAAACAACAUUCCGAAUACCUGCAUAGGAACACCAUGGCAACCACCUAUGCUGCAUCCGAAAUCGCAUGCUUCCCUACUAUAUAGAGCAGCAAUUACCCCAAACUGUGACUGCUCCUCCUACCAGCCGCGGGAACAAUGGACUGUCUGUCAGCGGCGGUGCUGCCCAAGCAUAACAGAUGUGUGUGGACACACUAGACAAUGGCGUGGCUGGAUAAGUGGGUUCCUGAUCUCAGAGGCGGGGGGGAGGAUGGCAGCUUGUGUCCGAGACACCCGCGUGGGGCGAGGGAGAAAUCCACAGGACCAGCACAGAGCCAGCCCCCGAGACCUUCAGCACAGAAAUCUCAACAACCUCCGAUCCGUGUUCUGGGAGAAAGUUGGAGGAGUUUGGGGAUUAGAUGGUGGUCUGAUACAUGAGCCUUACGUUUGUCUUUUUAAAGGUAAAGUGUGUAUUUCAAAAAUAAUGACUGUUUUCAUACAGGUUUUAUGAAGACGUUCCCUGUGAUCAGCAAACAAAUAGCCCUGCUCCAAAACUCACACCAUUGAUUGAG
ensembl:lncRNA